rnacentral:lncRNA from 1 species
CAUGCAGAUAUCUCACGAGAAUUACCGGCUAAGUGCUGCUUUAAUCUGGUUACCCCUCCUCCUUUGAAGCACUUGUGGCAAUAAUUGCACUGAAACUGGUGCCGUUCACCGAGCAUCUUUCCAUGCUCCCAGCCAAUAUUACGUUCUUGGGGUUGCCCUCUCCUUGACGGCUCCAUUUCUACAACCACAUUAAUUUUUUUCAAUUUCUAUUUUUUUUAAUUAAAAAUUAAUGUUUAAAUUUUUUAAUUAAAUUUUAAAUUAUAUAAAUUCUGUAAAAACAAAAGUUAAUGUCACCAUUAACAUCGUCCAUAUAUCGACAACAUAUAAAAAAUUCAAGACGAAAUGGAAUCAUUGAAUCAUUUCCUAUUUUUUGGCAAUUUUUGACUUAAUUUUUUUAAGCAAUUUAAAUGAAAUAUUAAAAAAACAAUGUAGGGGAAAGAAAUUUUACCUUAUUUAGUUUUUGCUGGAUUUUUCUUCAAGAAAAAUGACGCCCUCCGACCUUUCUAAUUUUUUUUCAUGCCUUUCUCUUCUUUUCCUCCUCCUUUCUCUUCUUUUUCUCCUCCUCUCUCUGCCUUUCCUUCACCUAAGCUGAUGGAUCUGGCUUCAGCAUUCGGUCGGCUUUUAUAGCCAACCGUUGAGACACUGUGGCACUUUGAAAAGUGCCACUGUGAGCCACAGCGCGGCACUUU